rnacentral:tRNA from 1 species
CAAAUCAUAAUCUCAAGGAGGUAUUAUUAUUUACAUUAAUAAUUUAGUUGUGCGAUUCAAC